rnacentral:rRNA from 2 species
ACCGCGUGAGUGAAGAAGGGUGUCGGCUCGUAAAGCUCUGUUGUUAAAGAAGAACACGUAUGAGAGUAACUGUUCAUACGUUGACGGUAUUUAACCAGAAAGUCACGGCUAACUACGUGCCAGCAGCCGCGGUAAUACGUAGGUGGCAAGCGUUAUCCGGAUUUAUUGGGCGUAAAGAGAGUGCAGGCGGUUUUCUAAGUCUGAUGUGAAAGCCUUCGGCUUAACCGGAGAAGUGCAUCGGAAACUGGAUAACUUGAGUGCAGAAGAGGGUAGUGGAACUCCAUGUGUAGCGGUGGAAUGCGUAGAUAUAUGGAAGAACACCAGUGGCGAAGGCGGCUACCUGGUCUGCAACUGACGCUGAGACUCGAAAGCAUGGGUAGCGAACAGGAUUAGAUACCCUGGUAGUCCAUGCCGUAAACGAUGAGUGCUAGGUGUUGGAGGGUUUCCGCCCUUCAGUGCCGGAGCUAACGCAUUAAGCACUCCGCCUGGGGAGUACGACCGCAAGGUUGGAACUCAAAGGAAUUGACGGGGGCCCGCACAAGCGGUGGAGCAUGUGGUUUAAUUCGAAGCUACGCGAAGAACCGUACCAGGUCUUGACAUCUUGCGCCAACCCUAGAGAUAGG